CGUGGAUGCUCUAUUCGUGUG
rnacentral:siRNA from 1 species